rnacentral:ncRNA from 1 species
AAUCUUUUCUGUAUGAUAAUGAUUUAAUACAUAGGAUUCCUCACUUAGUCUAGAUUGAUGGGAUUGACAGACUGAGAGCUCUCUCUCUGUUCCAUGGGUGGUGGCAGCACAUGGCCAUUCUUAGUUGGUGGAAGCUAUUUGUCUGGUUAAUUCCAAUAACAAACAAGGCUCUGGCAUGCUAACCAGUUACGUGACCCCCGAGUGGACAGUGUCCAACUUCUUAGAGGGACAACUGGCAUUCAGCCACCCAAGAUUGAGCAAUAACAGGGCUGUGAUGCCCUUAAAUGUCUGGGGCCACAUGCUCUAGACCGAGUGGCUCAGUUUGUGCCAACCUCCACCAGCAGGCAGAGGUAACCCAUUGGAAAGCAUUUGUGAUGGGGAUCAGGGACUGGAAUUCUUCCUUGUAACAAGGAACUCCCAGUAAGUGGAUGUCACAAGCUCACACUGAAAAGUUCC